AUAAUACUGGAUAGGCAAUUAUUCCUGUAAUGGUUUUUUGUUUAAAUGUUUUUUCGCCUAAGGAUGGGUCUGCGGCCGAUUAGGUAGUUGGUUAGGUAAUGGCUUACCAAGCCUUUGAUCGGUACGGGUUGUGAGAGCAAGAGCCCGGAGAUGGAACCUGAGACAAGGUUCCAGGCCCUACGGGGUGCAGCAGGCGCGAAACCUCCGCAAUGUGAGAAAUCGCGACGGGGGGAUCCCAAGUGCCAUUCUUAACGGGAUGGCUUUUCAUUAGUGUAAAGAGCUUUUGGAAUAAGAGCUGGGCAAGACCGGUGCCAGCCGCCGCGGUAACACCGGCAGCUCUAGUGGUAGCAGUUUUUAUUGGGCCUAAAGCGUCCGUAGCCGGUUUAAUAAGUCUCUGGUGAAAUCCUGCAGCUUAACUGUGGGAAUUGCUGGAGAUACUAUUAGACUUGAGAUCGGGAGAGGUUAGAGGUACUCCCAGGGUAGAGGUGAAAUUCUGUAAUCCUGGGAGGACCGCCUGUUGCGAAGGCGUCUGACUGGAACGAUUCUGACGGUGAGGGACGAAAGCUAGGGGCGCGAACCGGAUUAGAUACCCGGGUAGUCCUAGCUGUAAACGAUGCGGACUUGGUGU
rnacentral:rRNA from 1 species